AGCGAACGCUGGCGGCAGGCUUAACACAUGCAAGUCGAGCGGGCACUCCGGUGUCAGCGGCCGACGGGUGAGUAACACGUGGGAACGUACCCUUCGGUUCGGAAUAACGCUGGGAAACUAGCGCUAAUACCGGAUAGGCCCUUAUGGGGAAAGGUUUACUGCCGCAGGAUCGGCCCGCGUCUGAUUAGCUAGUUGGUGGGGUAAUGGCCUACCAAGGCGCCGAUCAGUAGCUGGUUUGAGAGGAUGAUCAGCCACACUGGGACUAGGACACGGCCCAGACUCCUACGGGAGGCAGGAGUGGGGAAUAUUGGACAAUGGGCGCAGGCCUGAACCAGCCAUGCCGCGUGAGUGAUGAAGGCCGUAGUGUUGUAAAGCUCUUUUGUCCGGGACGAUAAUGACGGUACCGGAAGAAUAAGCCCCGGCUAACUACGUG
rnacentral:rRNA from 1 species